CCUACGGGCGGCAGCAGUGGGGAAUUUUGCGCAAUGCUCGUAAGAGUGACGCAGCGACGCCGCGUGAAUGACGAAGGCCUUCGGAUCGUAAAGUUCUUUCGACAGGGAAGAAAAUGCCUAUAAGUAACUGUGUAUGUAUUGACGGUACCUGUAUAAGCAGCCCCGGCGAACUCCGUGCCAGCAGCCGCGGUAAUACGGAGGGGGCGAGCGUUGUUCGGAGUGACUGGGCGUAAAGAGCACGUAGGCGGUGUUGUAAGUCAUUAGUCAAAGACUAGAGCUCAACUUUAGUAAGGCUAGUGAUACUAUAAUACGAGAGUAUCAGAGAGGAUUGCGGAAUUCCUGGUGUAGCGGUGAAAUGCGUAGAUAUCAGGAGGAAUACCGUUAGCGAAGGCGGCAAUCUGGCUGGAAACUGACGCUGAGGUGCGAAAGCGUGGGUAGCAAACAGGAUUAGAUACCCCUGUAGUC
rnacentral:rRNA from 1 species